GUGAGUAGUUCAGAGUUUGAUCCUGGCUCAGGACGAACGCUGGCGGCGCGCCUAACACAUGCAAGUCGAACGAGUGGAUGGUCUUCGGACCUGAAGCUAGUGGCGGACGGGUGAGUAACACGUGAGGAACCUGCCUCUCAGAGUGGGAUACCGUUUGGAAACGAACGUUAAUACCGCAUAAUGUACAUUUGUCGCAUGGCAUAUGUACCAAAGAUUUAUCGCUGAGAGAUGGCCUCGCGUCUGAUUAGAUAGUUGGUGAGGUAACGGCCCACCAAGUCUGCGAUCAGUAGCCGGACUGAGAGGUUGAUCGGCCACAUUGGGACUGAGACACGGCCCAG
rnacentral:rRNA from 1 species